UUUAUAUAUCAUAUAGAGAGAGACUGAGUUUUUUUGUAGUAAAAAAUUAAUACGUAGCCGAAUUAAUUUUAGCGCUUGAUUUUAGAAUAGUAAUUAUGGCUAAGGAUUACAUACUUAAUUGAACGGUACAUUAAAAGUAUGCACAACUUAUGCUAAGUAGUGGCUUGAAAACCGUAUUGAUUUUAUAUUUUCUUAUCUUGUGGAAAAAUAUCAUUUUUAUCAUCAAAUUUGUAUAUUAUCGUUAGUUGGAUUCGUUUCAUUGUAAUUUAACAUUUACAAUGAUUCGUUAGAUUAAAGAUUUAUUAAAAAUUGAUCGAUCAUUUCGAAAUUAAUUGGGCGACGAUGAUGAUCGUGGGCUAUAUCCGAUGUUCGUGAGAGACGAGUGACUCCGAGCGAAUGUGCCGGUUCGCGAAGCUGGCAAUCGGUCUAGUAAGUUCAGUAGUAGGCUCGCGCGCCUGCUGUAAGGGUGGCUGCUUGCCGCGCAGCCUGCCUUUUUCGUGUGCUUCUCUCGCUGUCCCAUCGCUAUCCUUUUUCCCUUUUGUAUUUUAACAUAAGCCGUCCUUCGCAUUGCCAUUACUAUUAUUAUUAUUCUU